rnacentral:rRNA from 1 species
AGCGAACGCUGGCGGCAGGCCUAACACAUGCAAGUCGAGCGCCCAGCAAUGGGAGCGGCAGACGGGAUAGUAACACGUGGGAACGUACCUUUCAGUUCGGAACAACCCAGGGAAACGUUGGCGUAAUACCGAAUACGUCCGUAAGGAGAAGAUUUAUCGCUGAAAGAUCGGCCCGCCGUCUGAUUAGCUAGUUGGUGAGGUAAUGGCUCACCAAGG